rnacentral:tRNA from 1 species
GUCGUUGUAGUAUAGUGGUAAGUAUUUCCGUCUGUCACUGAGUGACCCGGGUUCGAUCCCCGGCAACGGCG